rnacentral:lncRNA from 1 species
CCCAAGGGCUAGACACCCCGGGUCUGACUGGUGGGAGAGAAGACGUAAUGUGAAGGGGGUUGGCAACCAAGACGCGGGACCCCACUUGCAGUACCCCCCGUCGCGGGGCCAGCGCGGGUAGGGAGUGGGAUGGAAAAGAAAGGUUGGGGAGAAGAGUUCAUGUCAUAACGUUUCUCAUUGUACCUCCUUGUGCUUAUAAAGCCAGGCUAAAUGGCUUCCUCCCCCAGCUUUUCCUACCCCCAUUAUAAGGCCACAGGUGGUGACAGCCUUCAGCCCUGAGGUGGGCCGGCCUCUAGAUCUGAGCGUGGGGAAGCCAGGGUGCAUGGGCGGUCACUGUGAAGCUGGCCUGGCCCCGGGGUGGCAGCCUACUGGACUUGGAGAGAGAGGCCCUGCUCCACCUGUUUGGGCCGGGCCUAAUCGAUACCUGAGUGCCAGGACAGACCCCUGCAGCUCCUUCUGUUUCUCCAGGUCUCCAGUGGGGGCUGCAGACUAAGCAAAAUGAGGCGGUUCCUGAGG